rnacentral:rRNA from 1 species
AUUGAACGCUGGCGGCAUGCUUUACACAUGCAAGUCGAACGGAUCUAGGGGCUUGCUCCUAGGUUAGUGGCGAACGGGGGAGUAAUGCAUAGGAACGGACCGUGUCGUGGGGGAUAACGUGGCGAAAGUCAGAUUAAUACCGCAUACGAACUACGGCUGAAAGCGGGGGACCUUCGGGCCUCGCGCUAUACGAGCGGCCGAUGUCGGAUUAGCUAGUUGGUGGGGUAAAGGCUCACCAGGGCGACGAUCCGUAGCGGGUCUGAGAGGAUGGUCCGCCACACUGGGACUGAGACACGGCCCAGACUCCUACGGGAGGCAGCAGUGGGGAAUUUUGGACAAUGGGCGCAAGCCUGAUCCAGCCAUGUCGCGUGCAGGAUGAAGGCCUUCGGGUUGUAAACUGCUUUUGUACGGAACGAAAAGACUCUGGUUAAUACCUGGGGUCCAUGACGGUACCGUAAGAGUAAGCACCGGCUAACUACGUGCCAGCAGCCGCGGUAAUAC